rnacentral:rRNA from 1 species
AGUAAUGUAUGGGGAUCUGCCUGAUGGGGGGGGAUAACUACUGGAAACGGUAGCUAAUACCGCAUAAUGUCUACGGACCAAAGCGGGGGACCUCCGGGCCUCGCGCCAUCAGAUGAACCCAUAUGGGAUUAGCUAGUAGGUGAGGUAACGGCUUACCUAGGCGACGAUCCCUAGCUGGUCUGAGAGGAUGAUCAGCCACACUGGGACUGAGACACGGCCCAG